AUCGCUUCUAGGCUUUUUGGCUAAGGUAUAGUGUAGAAUCUAUUCUUACCUAUUUAAUAUCCGAUAUGUCUUAUACCUGAGGACAAUAUAUUAAAUGGAUUUUGGGGGGCUGGGAGAUGGAAUAGGAGCUCGCUCCAUCCGGUCCACACAUCAACCUGGUAUUGCAGUACCUCCAGGAUGGUGCAUCACUU